GACGAACGCUGGCGGCGUUGCUAACUACAUGCAGUCAGUACGCUUUUUCUUUCACCGAGACUUUGUCUCACCGAAAGAAAAAGACUUGGCGAACGGGUGAGUAACCCGGUCGGUAAACUGGCCUCAAGCGGGGGAUAACACUUGGAAACAGUGUGGCUAAUACCGCAUAAUAAUCUGAAAAGCCAUUUUUUAGAUUUUGAAACGUCGCAAUUGCGAACACUUGAGUGAUGUGACCCGCGUGUGCAUUACCUAGAUUGGUGAGUGUAACGGCUCACCAAUGCCACGAUGCAUAGCCGAACCUGAGAGUGGUGAUCGGCAACACUGGGACUGAGACACGUGCCCGACUCCUACGGGAGGCCAGCAGUAGGGAAUCUUCGGCAAUGGACGAAAGUCUGACCGAGCAACUGCCGCCGUGAGUGAAGAAGUGUUUUCGGAUCGUAAAACUCUGUUGUAUCAGAGAAGAACAAGUGGUGAGAGUGGAAAGUUCACCCCUUGACGGUAAUCUAACCAGAAAGCCACGGCUAACUACGUGCCAGCGGCGCGGUAAUACGUAGGUGGCAAGCGUUGUCCGGAUUUAUUGGGCGUAA
rnacentral:rRNA from 1 species